CGGGUGAGUAACGCGUGAGGAACCUGCCUCAAAGAGGGGGACAACAGUUGGAAACGGCUGCUAAUACCGCAUAAGCCCACGGCUCGGCAUCGAGCAGAGGGAAAAGGAGCAAUCCGCUUUGAGAUGGCCUCGCGUCCGAUUAGCUAGUUGGUGAGGUAAUGGCCCACCAAGGCAACGAUCGGUAGCCGGACUGAGAGGUUGAACGGCCACAUUGGGACUGAGACACGGCCCAG
rnacentral:rRNA from 1 species